rnacentral:misc_RNA from 1 species
CUGCCAGAACAUUUUGUGAAAGUAAUCCAUUCUUGUUACGGAAGGGCCCCUGUUCAUCCACACCCACCAUUACAGGAAUGUGUAUGCCAUCAACUGCUCCCACACAAUCCUUAAAAUAUGGAUAAAAUCUAGGAUCUCCCAAGAUUUCUGGUGGAACAUCAGAUCCUGGAGGCUGAAAGAAAUCUAAUGAAAUUGCCAAAAUAGCAUUCAAAACAUUGUUGAAAUGGCGACUAAUGGUUUCUCCUG